rnacentral:rRNA from 1 species
UACGAAGGGGGCUAGCGUUGUUCGGAAUUACUGGGCGUAAAGCGCGCGUAGGCGGUGAUCUUUGUCAGAGGUGAAAUCCCGAGGCUCAACUUCGGAAUUGCCUUUGAAACGGGAUUGCUUGAGUCCGAGAGGGGAUGGCGGAAUUCCUAGUGUAGAGGUGAAAUUCGUAGAUAUUAGGAAGAACACCGGUGGCGAAGGCGGCCAUCUGGCUCGGUACUGACGCUCAGGCGCGAAAGCGUGGGGAGCAAACAGG